CAGUCGCCGCGGGAACACAGAGGGUGCAAGCGUUAAUCGGAAUUACUGGGCGUAAAGCGCGCGUAGGUGGUUCGCCAAGUUGGAUGUGAAAUCCCCGGGCUCAACCUGGGAACUGCAUCCAAAACUGGCGAGCUAGAGUAUGGUAGAGGGUGGUGGAAUUUCCUGUGUAGCGGUGAAAUGCGUAGAUAUAGGAAGGAACACCAGUGGCGAAGGCGGCCAUCUGGGACAACACUGACGCUGAGGCACGAAAGCGUGGGGAGCAAACAGGAUUAGAUACCCGUGUAGUCCCUGUCUCUUAUAA
rnacentral:rRNA from 1 species